ensembl:lincRNA
ACAGCGUCUGGUGCAGCAAAUGAUAGCUCUUCUUCUUAAUACUUUAUUAACUGUUAUUAUGGACCUAAAGCAUCCAGAGCUGCGCCUAUCUCUCAGUUCUCUUUUCUCCUGGACGAUGCCCAUUUUCUCAACGGAGGCCCUGCUUUGCAGCUAGGGAGCCCUUCAGUGCCAACCGCUCUAUCCCACGAGAGAGGGUGCACGCAGGGUAGAGGGAUUCAACCUUGGGAGGUGUCCCGGCAGCCAGUUACACACGCGGAAGGAGGGAGGCAAGAGAAGCAGCAACAGCACUGGCGGAAGUUCACCGAGUUGAUAAAGUUAUUAAAACAUAAAACACACACAUGCACCAGGCCGGGGGGGGGGGGAAUGCAUAAAAUCAAGCAACCCGCCGCGUCCAGCCCUUUACCUCCAGGCUGUGCAAAGCCAGGAGGGCGAGGGAGCGGGGAGAGGAGGAACGAGUCUGACAGAAGACACAGCCAGCCACAAGGUAUGAGAAAAUAUUUGCAAAGGAAGUGUCUGAUAAAGGAUUUCCAUUAAGAAUCUACAAAGAACCCUCCAA